ensembl:processed_transcript
GUCUGCUCUGGGACUUGGAACAAAAGGGGAAACUCUGAUGAACUCCUUCUCCCGCUCCCUGGACGCCCGAGUAUCUCUUUCUCGCAACUUUGUCAACGCGACUUUCUCCGCUGUCAGGCUGCGCAAAAGUGUCCUAGCGCCUCGCAGGCUGCAACAAUGGAAACAAUGUCCCUUCAAAGUGCGACGAAGUGGAGGGAGAAGGUGUCAUACCAGCGACUCCAAGAGUCAUGUCACCCACUUAGCAGGAGUACUUCUACUGAAAUGCCUUCGAAUUACUCUUACUGGAUAUAUACCUACCAGCCGCUAGCAUGAAGAUGCCAGGACCGCUGCAAGUUAGCACUGGACAAAGUAGCAUCAACUUCUUCAUUUAGAGUUUCUUCAGUUAAAUUGCUGGGAUUUUCGACAAGGCUUUCCUUAUGUGGAUUAUUGGAGUGUGAUGCCCGGGAAUUCUCUACUUGUAGAAGCACGCCCACGGGACUGCAGAAGCCUUCACACCCACCCAGCACGCUCAGAUGGGAAUGAGUGAUGGCCAUCCAGUGACCAGCUGGAUCUGACUGCCUUACAAGA